GGCGAAAUAGCUCAGCUGGUUAGAGCGCAGCACUCAUAAUGCUGAGGUCUGGGAUUCGAGUUCCCAUUUCGCUACCA
rnacentral:tRNA from 1 species